rnacentral:rRNA from 1 species
UACGUAGGGGGCUAGCGUUGUCCGGAAUCAUUGGGCGUAAAGAGCGUGUAGGCGGUCCGGUAAGUCCGCUGUGAAAGUCGGGGGCUCAACCCUCGAAAGCCGGUGGAAACUGUCGGGCUAGAGUACGGAAGAGGCGAGUGGAAUUCCUGGUGUAGCGGUGAAAUGCGCAGAUAUCAGGAGGAACACCGGUGGCGAAGGCGGGUCUCUGGGCCGAUACUGACGCUGAGGAGCGAAAGCGUGGGGAGCGAACAGG